rnacentral:rRNA from 1 species
CUGGCUCAGGAUGAACGCUGGCGGCGUGCCUAAUACAUGCAAGUCGAGCGAACAGANAAGGAGCUUGCUCCUUUGACGUUAGCGGCGGACGGGUGAGUAACACGUGGGUAACCUACCUAUAAGACUGGGAUAACUUCGGGAAACCGGAGCUAAUACCGGAUAAUAUUUCGAACCGCAUGGUUCGAUAGUGAAAGAUGGUUUUGCUAUCACUUAUAGAUGGACCCGCGCCGUAUUAGCUAGUUGGUAAGGUAACGGCUUACCAAGGCGACGAUACGUAGCCGACCUGAGAGGGUGAUCGGCCACACUGGAACUGAGACACGGUCCAGACUCCUACGGGAGGCAGCAGUAGGGAAUCUUCCGCAAUGGGCGAAAGCCUGACGGAGCAACGCCGCGUGAGUGAUGAAGGUCUUCGGAUCGUAAAACUCUGUUAUUAGGGAAGAACAUACGUGUAAGUAACUNUGCACGUCUUGACGGUACCUAAUCAGAAAGCCACGGCUAACUACGUGCCAGCAGCC